rnacentral:sRNA from 12 species
UUGCGCCUGCGGAGGAUGCAGCGUCGUCUAUCUUGAAGGCCUUGCAGGCGGCCGGAUGGCGUACCGUCCCGUGAACCGCAAUUUUGCGGAUUCAAAACCACUCC